rnacentral:tRNA from 4 species
UCGUUAGCUCAGUCGGUAGAGCAGUUGACUUUUAAUCAAUUGGUCGGGCGUUCGAAUCGC